AUUACACAGAGGUGCCGGGAGGAGAAGGGACGCAUUGGCCCACCACUUCGUGAGUCCAGGCGCCGUGAUUGGUGCUUCACGCGUGUCGUCUCAGUAAUCUUCAUAACAGCCUUGCAAGGGAUAAGAAAACUGAGGCCCAGAAAGGGUAAGUCAUUUGCUUGAGGUUACAUAACUGGCAAGGUGUCAGGAAUGAAUAUAAACCAAAUGUCAGGAAUGAAUAUAAACCGGCAUGGAUUGAGCACCUACUAUUCGGCAGGAUCUGUGCUGGGAUUCUUAUCCUUGUGCAAACCC
rnacentral:lncRNA from 1 species